AACGAACGCUGGCGGCGCGCUUAACACAUGCAAGUCGAACGAGAAGCUGUAGCAAUACAGUUGUACAGUGGCGAACGGGUGAGGAAUACAUGGGUAACCUACCCUCGAGUGGGGAAUAACCAGCCGAAAGGCUGGCUAAUACCGCGUACGCUUCCCAAUCUGCGGGUUGGGAAGGAAAGCUCUACCGUGGGUAGAGCGCUCAAGGACGGGCUCAUGUCCUAUCAGCUUGUUGGAGGGUAACGGCCUACCAAGGCAACGACGGGUAGCUGGUCUGAGAGGACGAUCAGCCACACUGGCACUGCGACACGGGCCAGACUCCUACGGGAGGCAGCAGUGAGGAAUAUUGGACAAUGGGGGCAACCCUGAUCCAGCCAUGCCGCGUGAGUGAUGAAGGCCUUC
rnacentral:rRNA from 1 species